rnacentral:rRNA from 1 species
UGCAGUCGAACGGCAGCACAGAGGAGCUUGCUCCUUGGGUGGCGAGUGGCGGACGGGUGAGGAAUACGUCGGAAUCUGCCUAUUUGUGGGGGAUAACGUAGGGAAACUUACGCUAAUACCGCAUACGACCUACGGGUGAAAGUGGGGGACCGCAAGGCCUCACGCAGAUAGAUGAGCCGACGUCGGAUUAGCUAGUUGGCGGGGUAAAGGCCCACCAAGGCGACGAUCCGUAGCUGGUCUGAGAGGAUGAUCAGCCACACUGGAACUGAGACACGGUCCAGACUCCUACGGGAGGCAGCAGUGGGGAAUAUUGAACAAUGGGCGCAAGCCUGAUCCAGCCAUGCCGCGUGUGUGAAGAAGGCCUUCGGGUUGUAAAGCACUUUUGUCCGGAAAGAAAAGCUUAGGGUUAAUAACCUUGAGUCAUGAUGGUACCGGAAGAAUAAGCACCGGCUAACUUCGUGCCAGCAGCCGCGGUAAUACGAAGGGUGCAAGCGUUACUCGGAAUUACUGGGCGUAAAGCGUGCGUAGGUGGUUUGUUAAGUCUGAUGUGAAAGCCCUGGGCUCAACCUGGGAAUGGCAUUGGAAACUGGCUUACUAGAGUGCGGUAGAGGGGUGUGGAAUUCCCGGU